ensembl:lncRNA
UGUUGGCAAACACAGCGUCUCAAAUACACACUUUCUAUUGAUUACUCCGUGCUUGUAAGAUUUAGUCUUUAGAAGGAGAACACACUUUUACCAACAAUUAAUGAAUUUCAAAAUGUGCGAUUAAUUAUUUAAUGUUUUUUAAUCUAUUGACAGCCCUAGUACAACAUUCUCUGUCCUGGGACCCUCAGACUGGGAUGGGAAAAUGUACUGUAUAUAUACUAUACUAACGGCUAACAUUCAUCUGCUAGCCGUCCCUCUCGCUGUCUCUCGUCAUAUUGGAGAAAAACAGCCAGUUAACAAAGAGUCCGAGAUCGGUUAACAUCGUUAACCGCGGCGCAAGCAACAGCGCAAGGAAUUUCGCUUUGCAAACUUCAUCUUUAACAUUACUAAGGUCUUAGGUCUUUUCUGACAUAAUUUGAGAGGAAUCUGAUUAAUUUGCAAGGAGAAGGGUAUCAAUCAAUUCAAUUUCAGGUUGAUAGUAUACCACCUCGAGGUGUCACUCAGUGAUAAUCAGGACAUUCUGAUUCCGUUCCAAAAUGAAAGCCUCUCAAAAUACCAUGUAUGUACCAUACAUAAGCUAACUUCCUUGAUAUUCUUUCACAAGAUUACUUUUGGUCUAUUUUGAGGUUAUAAAAUCUGCCAUGGCCAUGGUGCUAACCAACGAUUUUAUCCGAUGGACCAGGAUUUUGGUCUGAUGUUUGGUAAUGCUGCUACAAAGUUGCUGGAGAGGUGGCCUACUGUCUACAAGCAGAAAGUCCUGGAACAAAGCUGUGGCCUCACACAGACAGCCGACCUUCAAGAACUGCUUCAAAAUGCUCAAUGCUCAACGGAAGCUGGGACAGUGACACGUCAUCUGUUUUGGUUCUUGUCCACCUUCUACCUUCAUCACCAAAUGGCCGCAAGAGACCAGGAAAACUUUCAGCCAGACAAGCCAGUAACCAUCUCGUGAAAUUUGUUAUGACCGGGACGAGCAUCCAGGAGCAUCUGGACAGCAUCACUAAAAGUCUUCAACCCUACCUGCUAGAUGUGGGGACCCAGAAGAGUCUGAUUCACAAGUACUACAUUGUGAUUGACAAACAUGUAAUACCGUGUAAGUCAGCAGACACACUUUCCAGUUUUGAUGAGCUUUUCAAAGCUCAUUUUGUCUUUGGUACGUCGUACAACCAGGAUCUGGUAAACGUGUACAACUUCUUGCAAACCACAAUUUAUGAAAUGGAUGAUGAUACCACGAAGGUGAAUCCAAGAGUUGCAGAGUUGAGAGCUCGGAUGCUUCAUUACAUUGAUACAAAGCUGGUUGGUCUCAAAAGCCUUGAGGCUUCAUUGAGUUGAAAUUAAGAAGUUGUGUUUUUUUUUGCAAAAGUCUCCAUGCAAAUGCUAAUUCCCUAACAAAACACUUGAAGUUGAUACACAGACUUUGUUCAGGAAAGACCCGUCGUCUUAAAUGUGGUUGGGCUGGUUGUUCAGAAGUUUAUGGCACUUUUUCUGGGUUUCGAAAGCAUCUUAAUAAAAGCACAUGAACAGUGUUCUCAUCCUGGUGAAGGCCCAUCUACAUCUGAUCAUUUAGCCGCAAGUCAUUUUGAUGAAUUGGCAGCAAAAAGUUCACUUUCUGAUUCAGUCCUAAAAAGGAGUCUCGUAGACAGCUGUGCUGCAACAGUAGCCGAACUUAAAGUGGCAGGCGUACAAGAAACCACCAUUAACUCUUUGGUCAUUUCAAUGGGAGAUUAUUGAUGAUAUCCAUAACCCGGCAAACAAAUCUGUGAAGAAGUGUCUGUCUUUACCAGAGCCUAUGAAAAGUGAGAUUGAGAGCAAAAUUGAUUAGUGUUUUGAAAAAAUGGAAAAUCCUUUUGGUGUGUUAAAUUCUGAGAGGAAAAAGAAGCACUUUUUUACACAAAAGUGGGGAGGGGUGUGAUUGCCGAUGUGCUGGUAGUUAUUUGUGAUGGCAUUCUUCUACUGUUGGACAGUACAAUGUUGAGUUAAACAUGAUAUGGAUGUUUUUUUGAUUUAUUGUGAAAUAAACCCCUCUUGUGGUGACGAAGUCCUUCUUUUAUAGUUUAUUCAUUUGUUACUCCCCAGCUGUCCUAGACAUCAGUCGAGGGACGUAACAGUGAAAUCAUGGAGUAAAAAAAAAA